AACGAACGCUGGCGGCAUGCCUAACACAUGCAAGUCGAACGAGACCUUCGGGUCUAGUGGCGCACGGGUGCGUAACGCGUGGGAACCUGCCCUUAGGUUCGGAAUAACUCCCCGAAAGGGGUGCUAAUACCGGAUAAUGUCUUCGGACCAAAGAUUUAUCGCCUUUGGAUGGGCCCGCGUUGGAUUAGCUAGUUGGUAGGGUAAAAGCCUACCAAGGCGACGAUCCAUAGCUGGUCUGAGAGGAUGAUCAGCCACACUGGGACUGAGACGCGGCCCAGACUCCUACGGGAGGCAGCAGUAGGGAAGAUUGGACCAUGGGCGAAAGCCUGAUCCAGCAAUGCCGCGUGAGUGAUGAAGGCCUUAGGGUUGUAAAGCUCUUUUACCCGGGAUGAUAAUGACAGUACCGGGAGAAUAAGCCCCGGCUAACUCCGUG
rnacentral:rRNA from 1 species